UACGAAGGGGGCUAGCGUUGUUCGGAAUUACUGGGCGUAAAGCGCACGUAGGCGGAUUGUUAAGUGAGGGGUGAAAUCCCAGGGCUCAACCCUGGAACUGCCUCUCAUACUGCCAGUCUAGAGACCGAGAGAGGUAAGUGGAACUCCUAGUGUAGAGGUGGAAUUCGUAGAUAUUCGGAGGAACACCAGUGGCGAAGGCGGCUCACUGGCUCGAUACUGACGCUGAGGUGCGAAAGCGUGGGGAGCAAACAGG
rnacentral:misc_RNA from 1 species